GUAAUUUCAUGAAAGGGAAUCUAAACUUAUUUAUAACUUAAGAUCAUGUAAAUGUUAUAUAUAUAAAUAUUAAUUCUUCAACAUAGUAAUAAAUAUUAAAUAUUGAAUAACGUUCGAUUUGGUUGGGUUUGAGGAAUCGGUUAAUGGCGUGCCAGCAGCUGCGGUUAUACGGUUGAUUUGAUUAAGUUUUUUGGUUUAUUUGAUUAAUUAGUGUUUGGGGUGGUUUUUUGUUGUUUUUGGUGAAAUAAGUAUAAAUGAUUGAUUUUCGUUGUUUUGAUUGGGGGAAAUUGAUUUUUGAAACCAGGAUUAGAUACCCUGUUAUUGUUAGUGUUUUUGUUAGCUAAGGUAGUAAGAGAUGCUCUUGAAACCUAAGGGUUUUGGCGGUCUUUUUUCUUAUUAGAGGAAUUUGCUCUGUAAUUGAUAAUCCUCGUUAAAUUUUACUUGAUUGAUGUUUGUAUACCGCUGUUGAUGAUAUUUUUUAAAUGAGAUAUUGGGUAAAUAUGGUUCUAAAUGUCAAGUCAAGGUGCAGCUAGUAUUUGAGAUUGAAGUGAAUUACAAUUAGGUAUAAUGGAUUACUGAGUGUAAGUUGAUUAUGAGAUUGGAUUUAAUAGUAAUUUUGUAUUAAUAUGAUAUUAUGAAUAUGGUUUAAAAAGAUGUACAUAUCGCCCGUCACUCUUGGUCUGUGAAUUGAGAUAAGUCGUAACAAAGUGGGUGUACUGGAAAGUGUGUCUGGAUGAAUGAAG
rnacentral:ncRNA from 1 species